GACGAACGCUGGCGGCGUGCCUAAUACAUGCAAGUCGAACGCACAGUUUAUACCGUAGCUUGCUACACCAUAGACGGUGAGUUGCGAAAGAGUGAGUAAAGCGUAGGUAACCUGUCGGGUAGCGGGAGAUAACUAGGGGUAACGAUAGCUAAUACCGCAUAAUAUUAAUUAUGGCAUGAAAAUUAAUUGAAAGGUGCAAUUGCACCACUACUAGGUGGACCUGCGUUGGAUUAGGUAGUAGGUGAGGUAACGGCUCACCUAGGCGGGGAGAUAUAGCCGACCUGAGAGGGUGGGCGGCCAGACUGGGACGGAGACACGGCCCAGACUCCUUCAGGAAGCAGCAAGAGGGAAACUUCGGGAAUGGGCGGAAAUCUGUCCGAAAAACGCCGCGGGAGGGAAGAAGGACUUCGGGUCGUAAAUGUCUGUUGUAGGGGAAGAACGGGUGUGAGAGUGGAAAGUUCACACUGUGACGGUAACUUACCAGGAAGGAACGGCUAACUACGUG
rnacentral:rRNA from 1 species